UACGGAGGGUGCAAGCGUUAUCCGGAUUUACUGGGUUUAAAGGGUGCGUAGGUGGGUUGGUAAGUCAGUGGUGAAAUACUUUCGCUUAACGAAGGAACUGCCAUUGAUACUAUCAGUCUUGAAUGUAGUGGAGGUAGGCGGAAUGCGUCAUGUAGCGGUGAAAUGCUUAGAUAUGACGCAGAACACCAAUUGCGAAGGCAGCUUGCUACACUACUAUUGACACUGAGGCACGAAAGCGUGGGGAUCAAACAGG
rnacentral:rRNA from 1 species